AUGAGUUUCAAGAGCCACAUGUCUAUGAGACCCUCCUACCUGGACUUAGCUGACUACAGCAGGAGGGACAUGAGAUCUAAGCUGGAGCACACAGCGUCUCUCUCCUGGGAUGUGGAACUGAGAGACACUGAGAUCAGGAGACGGGAGCUGAUUCCUCUUAACGACAGGUCUGGAGCAAAGGAACUGCUGGAGAUAAAAGCAAAUGUCUUAGAAGAGCAAGUGUGACAUGUGGUACGCUAUCAGGAAUAAAUCUCUACCUGCCAAGCUAGACUGUAAGGCAAUCUGGAACCAGUUACUAUACAAACUUGUUUUAUUUCAAAACAGAAUCACCUGACUUACUUUUCUAUUUAUUUCUUGUCUUGAAUUCUUUUGUUGAUAUCAAGAUGCUACUAAUGAAACACAGUGGACCCGAAUUUUCAGGUGAAUUGAGAGAAAGGGGUUUGUAAAAAGGACUUAAAGGGAAAGAGCCCUCAUUUCCUUUAGAUUUUGAAAGGAUGGUGUUAACAGCAGAGGCUGAAAAAGUACCAUGGAAAUUUAGCCUGGGAAGGGAAUGGAAGGGCAGGGAGAGUGAGAGAAGGAGGCAGGGGAGGGAACUGGUGGUGUUCUGAUGCCAAAAACCCCACCCUUAGGAGUUGGCUUAAGGUGUGACAAAUACGCAGUGCGUUAUGCACUGAUGUGCACUGUGGAAUCCCAUACCUGUGGGGCUGCUGUGCGGUGUGUGUGGGGCGCUCAGGCGAAAGGGCACUGGAGAGCAGGCCUGUGCCCACAGAACUUGCUCUCAACUGUGCCACACCCAGGCAGGGACUUUGCGAAAGCCCUGAGGUGACUGACAGGUGAUGGAGGUACGUGGUAGCUGCCUGUGUUUACCAGAUAGUGCCCCAGCACCCUGGCUUUUCCAGGUGCUGGUGUCUUCCCAGGUGAGAAUGCAACAUAAAAAACCCUGGAGAUUCCAGUUGGCAGGGGAAUCCAUACAUCCUCAGUGCAGGCACAAAGACUGCAGGUAGCAGGCCUGUGGUGAAGGGCCAGCAUUUGUAUCAUGGUCUUGACAUUUUCUCACAUACUUGGUGUGUUUUUUUGUUACUGUUUUGUUUUGUUUUUGAGACAGAGUCUCACUGUGUUGCCCCUUUGUUUUUGAGACAGAGUCUCACUGUGUUGCCCCUUUGUUUUUGAGACAGAGUCUGCAGUGCAGUGGGGCUCACUGUAGCCUCCAGCUCCCAGCUCAAGCGGUCUUCUUGCCUCGAGGAGUUGGGACAACAGGCUUACGCCAUCACACUCGGCUAUUUUUUUUUUUUUUAAGUUUUUUUUUUAACUUUUUUUUAACUUUUUAACUAAAAAAAAAACUUUUUUUUAAACUUUUAACUAUUUUUUUUAACUUUUUGUAGAGACAAUUUUUUGUGUUGCACAGGCUGGUAUCAAACUCCUGGACUCAAGUGAUCCUCCUGCCUCAGCCUCCCAAAGUGCUAAGAUUACAGGCAUGAGCCACAGCACCCAGCCUCUCACACACUUUGAUAUACAUGAUCUCAUAACACUCUCCACAGAAACCCAGAAAGGAAGCUGCCAUUUUUCCCAUUCUACACAUGAGGAUGUGGAGGCUCGGUGGCUGGUUGACCUCCUAAGAGCUCUGAGCUGUUCAGCGGAGGAAGUCAGCUGUUCAUCUGACUCUGUGGCAGGGGUCUGAAACUCAAGUGCUCAGGGGAGCAGUGGAGUCAUUUCAGUGAGAGCAGCGGCCUGGAGACCACUCAUCCCAUCCAAAGGGGCAGCCGGUGCUCAGUGCUCGCAGAGUGCUGCCGUCCAAAAAUGCAGGCCCAAAGCUGCUAGAGCCUUCUGUUCUUCAAGAGAAACUACAAUAUAGAUUUUUGUGUGAGAGCGCAAUUUAUUCAAAACAAUUUUUUUUUAACUUUAAAAAAUAAAAAC
ensembl:lncRNA